GGUGGCGAGUGGCGAACGGGUGAGUAAUAUAUCGGAACGUGCCCAGUCGUGGGGGAUAACGUAGCGAAAGCUACGCUAAUACCGCAUACGAUCUAUGGAUGAAAGCGGGGGAUCGCAAGACCUCGCGCGAUUGGAGCGGCCGAUAUCAGAUUAGGUAGUUGGUGGGGUAAAGGCUCACCAAGCCGACGAUCUGUAGCUGGUCUGAGAGGACGACCAGCCACACUGGGACUGAGACACGGCCCAGACUCCUACGGGAGGCAGCAGUGGGGAAUUUUGGACAAUGGGCGCAAGCCUGAUCCAGCAAUGCCGCGUGCAGGAUGAAGGCCUUCGGGUUGUAAACUGCUUUUGUACGGAGCGAAAAGGCUCUCUCUAAUACAGGGGGCUCAUGACGGUACCGUAAGAAUAAGCACCGGCUAACUACGUGCCAGCAGCCGCGGUAAUACGUAGGGUGCAAGCGUUAAUCGGAAUUACUGGGC
rnacentral:rRNA from 1 species